GCAACCUUUGCUCUGGGUGACAGGCUGUGUAAGUCACAGGGCAUAUAAGUUACAAAGAGAUGCUCUGAUCCUGCCUCUGACUUCACAGAUACGGCUGCUGGGGCCCAGAGAGCAAAGUGGACUUAUCCAAGGUCACACACCGGAUUCCUGACAGAGCAGGAUUAAACUCAGGCUCAUGUUGGGAUGCACUUCCAGCCCCUUUGAAGUUAGGCAUGAUCAUGUGGCUAGUGCUGGCCAAUCAGAUGAGAACAGGAGUGCUGCUUGUGUCCUUGCCUGUGGGCAGAUAUCAAAUACAGAAAGACCUGCCAGGAGACGGUUGCAACUGGCUGAAAAACGUUAACUUUGAAGGAGACCAAUGAGGGGCAGAUUUCCAGUCUCUCCAGCAGAUAGAGUCCACCAGACCUGCUGAUGUAGGGCAGGGGAGCGUGAGCGAAAGGGAUCGAGAGGUGAUGAGGAAGCUCUUCCAGGCUUGAGCAAUUGGGUGGGUGUGUUGGAACUGGGGUGUGCAGUGGGGAGGGUUGGAAGGGGGCUUGUCACACCUCCCUCUGUCUCCUGGUGGGAGCAAUGGGCUGUUCCAGGGAUGGGUUUGGUUAGUGCUGAUGUACCUUUGGCUCAAUUGUAAGUCAAUAACCUGAUGAUCAGUGCUGGAAAAAGAGCUGGUUACCACCCUUGCUUUCUACACAUCUCACCUUCUUAGAAUAGUUCAGACUUAUUCUCCAAACUCAACAACUUUUUGUGGCAGGGUUCCUGGAUGCUUGUCAAAGGGACAGAACGUAUUUGUUCUCUUUGUAGGUACUAUGCCAGGUACUUGGGCACAUGGGGGUAAUAGCUUCAGAUGUUUCUCCUGAUUCUAGAUGUUAGGAGGAGAGGAAGGGACCUUUAAAGAGAGCCUCUCAGUGCAAGUUGCUGUGUCCAGUGAUUUCAUACCCUGCAUUAUAUACUCCUUAAAUAACCUCACCAGGAUUACUCGAUAAAUACCCAUCAUUACGGCUUGGUUAUUAGUCAUCAAGUAACAAAGCUGGAAUUUGAACUAUGUCUGUUUUUUAUUUUGCCGUGCUGAUUCUGUCUGAUCAAAGAUGAAGGUAAGGGGAUCAAUGGUGUCUCACAGGGUAAGGGAGGCCACCCUCACGUCUCAGUCUCCAUGAUGUCAGCAGGGAACCCCCAACGCUUAGGAAGUGCUUGGAGAUCUCCAAAAGAGGGCAGCUCUGAGAUUGUGUUUUGCCAUUUUUAAAAAACAUUUACCCAUAAUGUCUCUUUAUAGGAUAAUAAAAAUGAACCAUCUGUGGUUCAUUGGGAAACAUGUCUCAGGCUUAUUAAAAAUAUAUGAAUUUUUAUUUUAAGAUGGGAUGGCCAUAUUAUUCAAAAUUGUAAGCCAAAAUGUAUUAUCUAUUAUUAAUUUAUUUUUAAUAGACAUCUUUCUUAUAGAUUAGCAUUCUAAUUACUUCUGAAAAAGUGGGCAGCAGCGAGGCGAGGUUUCCAAUUAAAAUUGUCCUGAAGACAAAUGGAGGGCUUGGGCUGAGAGACGUCACUCUUUCCCCGUCUGGGAGCAAUCACAUCUGUCACCCCCAGAGGGGCCAGGCCAGGCUGUCCGUUUGUGCUAGAUCGGCCCCAAGAGUUUGAGGUUCUCCUCAGGAGUGAAUGGGGGUGCUUCCAAUGGUGCUUUCUGGAAAGGGCUGCACAGGUGAAGGUGAAGGCCAUGGGGAGAGCCGCCUCCAGUUCUGUUGCUUUCCCUCCUUUCAGCUGCCUGCCCUUCCUAAGGCCCCUACACUGCCUGCCUGCUCGUCCCUCUCCAGGCAAAACCCCAAGUGCCUGCUGCAGUCGCUGGAGAGUGUGUGGGCUCUUUCAAACCCUUGUGUAAUUGAAACAUCUCUGCAUUUAUGGGUUUAAAAAAAUUUUUAAUGUUUAUUUACUUUUGGGGGGGGGUAAGGGGCAGAGAGAGGGAGACGCAGAAUCUGAAGCAGGCUCCAGGCUCUGAGCUGUCAGCACAGAGCCCAACGUGGGGCUUGAACUUACGAACUGUGAGAUCAUGACCUGAGCCGAAGCCGGGCGCUCAGCUGACUGAGCCACCCAGGCGCCCCCACGUUUAUAGUUUGAUUGAAGCUCAGUCACAUCACUUCCAAUCAGGUCAUGUUGAUGGCAAGCCUUCUGCUGUCGGAUAUUUGAAUCUGUCAACUGGAGACGUGGAAAGGGUUGGAUGCUGUGCAGAGGGAGUGUGGCUUGAAUCCCAUGCCUGUCACACACUCGUGUGGCUUCCACAAUUUCAUUGCCUGCCCAAUGGUAUUUCCUCAUAUGUGAAGGACACUCACUACUUAGGGUCUUCCCAAGGUUUAGGUGGAUACCCAGAAGUGUGCAUUUAGUCGGUGUGCAACAGGUGUGGUUCCUGCCUUUUCCCCUCCUGUCCGUGUGUGGACUGGGUCACUCUGCUGGGUGUCGGUCUGGCACCACUUUUAUGGGACAAUGUGUAGGAGGUCUGGCCCCUUCCAAGAAAGACCAGCAUAGGGCAAAGCACACUGAACAACAUCCCUCAAUCCCCUGGUUCGGUGUUCUUUGCUGGGCUGGACAUUUCCAUUCUCUGGGCUUCAGUUCCUUCUGUAGUAAAAGGGGUGGGGUGGACAGGGACCCUGCCUUUCUACUUUGUAGCCUUACCAGUACUCUGUAUUUUUAAUUUACUAAUCAGUUAUGGAUCUAGUCUUCAGAAACCUCUCCAAAGUCACCUUGAACCUAUGCUAUUUUCCGUUUAUAUUAAUUUUCUCUCAAGAUACUGAGUUUUAUUAAGUUUAUUACUUUUGGGUGAGUCAGAGUUCUUUUCAUCAGUCUAGUUUACUUCUUUUAACCCUCUGAUUUUACUAUAUUUUAGAUUUUCUCAACAUUCUUGUACUUGUUUAACAAGCACGUAAAUAAGUCCAUGCUCUCUGUAUUCAGAUUUUAGGAAAAAGAUGUGUAGAAAAGAAGUUUAAUGAAUUCCUACUAUGUGAAGAUAUGCCGAGUGCUUUCACUAUUUGUGAAAUCUCCUUUUAUCUUUCCAGAAAUCUGGGGAGGUGAUGUAGGGAUCCUCAGUUUGCCAUUGGACAAGCUAAGACUCAGAAAGCUUGUGUGACUCUCCCAGGGUCCCAUAGGGAGCAAGCGCUUGUUCCGGGAUCUGGAGCCAGAUCUUUUUGCAAUGAACGUUGUAAUGCUGUAGUGUUGUGCCUGGCUUCUUUCCGCUUUCCUUCUCUUCUUUAUACAUUGGAGAGAUGCAAGUUAUUAUUCCCCAGAGUUCCUCAGGACCGAUUCUUCACAUCUUCAGACCUGGAAGAUUUUUUAAAAGCCUCCCUAUCUCGUCUAAAGUGCAGACUCGAUAGGAAGGGGUCUCCAGGGCUCCCAUCCAGCAGCUUGCUUCUUUCCUGUUGCACUUGACCGAGGAGGGAUCUUAGGAUAAAGUGCUGUGAUUGCCUCAACUUAAUUCAGACCCGGCCGAGUAGCAGCCCGCACAUUUAACACCAUGCAUGUUUAAUUGCAUCUGGCCGAUGAGUGCGUUGCAUGUUUGGGUAUCUUAGGUGGUUCUUGGGGAAAACUGAGGGCAUGUAUAUCAAGCAAUUUUUGAAUUAUGUCUCUAUUAGCAUCUGUGAAUGUCUCCCCGGGGGAAGCCAGGAAAGCUCUAUUAGCAGAGCAGUUUAAAACAGGAUUGGAGGAAGCAGUAGGGGAAUAUCCCGUAGGGAACAAUAAUUAUAAACAGCACUUCCAUGUAAACAGGUCUUAAUGUGUUUUCUAUAUUGAAUUCCUGAGAGUGAGACUCUUGGGUGGUGUCUCAGCGCCCCCUCCAGGGAACUUAAGUAGAAGGCUUAGUGGACCCCUUUACCUCCCUGGGCACCAGAAUCUUCUCAAACCAUGGCAAUGCUGAGUUGUAGGCAACAUGAUCAUAAAGGCGUUGUUGUGUGACCUUGGGCAAGUCACUUCCUCCCUCUGGGCCCUUGUAGAGUUAUUUAUAAAGUGUUAGCACUAAGCCAAAUGCUCUCAUACAAUUCAUGUCAAUUAAUUCUCCCAACAUCCUACAAGGUGGGUUAUAGUACCCCAUUUUACAGAUUAGGAGAGUAAGUCUCAUGGGAGUUAAGAACCUUGUGCAAAGUCAUUAGUCAGCAAAUGGCAGAAGUGGGGUUUGAAUUCUGGCUUCUGACUCCAAUUCCAGGGUUACUUCCAAGACUCCAGAUCAUUUCCGUGACUUUUAGGGUCUUGUCCAGCUAAACAUUCUAUGAAAUAUACCUUUUUGGUAGCAGAAGUUUGGUGAUCUCAUCUUGACUUUUGCAACCCUCCCUCAACUUACUUAGGCUCUGGCAGCCAUGGGGACAGAUAUAUUUCUCAUUAGUUCUAUGUUUUAUGGCUGCUGCUGACUUCAGUGUUCUAGGGUGUAUGGCUCAGGCCAGUGUACCCAUUUGACAUCCUAACUGAGGGUUGGUUGUCACGGUGAUGGUGGUAUAGAGAAAUGUGGCCCUGGCUGGGUCAUAUCCCUUCUGUCUACCUCGACAGCUAGUAUAUCACGUGUUUUCCUGUGAAAUCAUGAGAUCAUGAUUCAAGUUUGGAUGGAUCUUGGAUGUUAUCAAUGGUUUUCAAACUCCUAUUAAGGCAAGGAAUUCUUUAAUGAAAAGCAAUUUUGCAUGGAGGCUAAGUAAAAUAGAUGAAAGCAAUUAGAUGCUGGGGUUAAAGAGGGAGAGCAGGAGAAUGUUUUGUUUUGUUUUGUUUUUUCCUUCCCCAAAUCCUGUAUGGUCCUCCUUCUGGAAAUUUUAUAGAUCAGCAUUUGGAAACCACCGAUCUAAUUCAACCUGCUCAUUUUAUGGUUGGCUAAGGUAAACCCAGAGAGGAAUGUGGAUGUUGCCGAGGGACAAGGCUGAGGCUGGAGUUGAGGGCUAUGGACAUGCUGCCUGGGGCUCUUUCAAAAACAAAGAAGUACCAAUGAGGUGUCCAGGGUUGGGCUUGAAAGCAUUCCCAAGCAUGAGCAGGGAUGGCCAUUAAUUUGUGCAUUAAUCCAUUCAUUCACCAGCUUUCACUGAGUAUCUAGUUGUCAAGUAGGAGAGCUUGCUCUAUUCUUGGAAUGUUCUCUGAAAUAUCAAGGGAUUACUCCCAGGGCAGCCCAGAGGGGGGAAAAGAAAGCUUGUCAAUAAUUAGGAUGUGUAUUAAGAAGGGAAUGUAGAGGUCUGGAGAAGGAGCCAAGCUGUGGAGGAAAACGAAGGCCCAGUGGAGGGGAGCGAAAAAUAACUCUGUGUAUGGUGUGGGAUGUGGAGUCUUUGCUGGAAGGCUUGGCCUUAGUCCCCCAAAUGUAUCCCAAGGUGUGAGGAAGCUUUGCAGGUAAACCUCGUUAUUUGUUCAUUCAUUGAACACUUCUUGAGCAUCUAGAACGUGUUGGGCACCAUGUUGGGCAGAAGGAGUGUGUGUUGAACAGGGCAGGCGUACUCUCUUCACAGACAGCCCCUCCUCAAGUCUCCUCUUUGUCGUCAGGAUAAAGGCAUUUGUUCAUUCAUUCAACAAAUGUUUGUUCUUGGUGCCAGAAGUAACUCUUCUCUCAAAGCUGAUUCCCUCGGGGGGUGCAGCUUAGAGUGUCUCAUGAGGGGGAAAGGUCACCCCAACCAUGUUCUCUCUAGUUUUUAAAAUAAGCAAAUGUGAAAGCAGGUAAUAGCCUAAAGCCAGUAUACUAUGUUAGUACCAUAAUUUAAAAACAAUUUUUUUUUUUACUCAGGCUCUUCACACACAGAUUCACGGACAGGAUGAUUGCCUAAGUGGGGAUCUGCUUUUCAGGGGUAGUUGGAGCUCAGUCAGUGUGCAGAAGGGUAUGCUUUGAUGGAGGUGGAUUAAAAGCCAGGAAGUCAGGAGAGGAUGCACAGAAAGACCAGCCCAAGUGGGCGUCCCAGUGGAAGGGCCUGAGUCACUUGAGAGAGGUUGAGAGCCUGGGGCUGGAGAGAGAGAAGAUGGGGUGGUGGGGUAGAGGGGUAAGCAUGGAGAGGGAGGGUGAAGGCAGAGAGGAGGAACCUAUGAAGAGCUUUGACUUUUUCACCUUUGAAUAUUGCCUGGAGGGAAAUAAAGGAACAAUACUGCAGUGCUCACUUAUUUCAAGGGCAUGGGAUCAGUGGCGUGCCUUGCUGAAUAGACUACACAAGUGACUACGUGUGUGCCAUUGAACUCUGACUUCAGAAAGCCUCAGAUGCCCAGUUGGAGAGAUGCCUGAGGAGGAAGUAAUGAGACAGACUGCCCUUUCCAACCAGGAACACCACUUUGCCUUUCCAGACCCCACCUGCCCAGAGGGAAACCUGACAAAUUCACCUGCCCAGAGGUGUUCCUGACUUUCUGGGUUUCCUCUCUUCUGGAGCCCUAGCAAGUGUAAUAGUUAACCCAAGGGGCUUAGUGGGAUUUUAGGCAUCAGCAUAGCCAGACAUGAGGAACUAAAGUAAGAACAGAGAGUCUUCAGUUUCUGGUAAGUCAAUACUUUGUUCUCUUGGCUUCUCUAGCCUACACCUCUCCUGGUUUCUGCCUGCUUCUUCCCCUCUCUUUCCUGCUUCCUUGCCAACAACUCCCUGCCUUAUAAGACUGGUGCUGUCCCUGACUCUGUUCUGCCUCUGCAUGCUCCCCUUUUGCAAGCUUAUGCCUGCUAACUGCUCUAGAUGUCAGCUCAGGACUGACUGGCACUGAUUGCAGCCAUGAUGUGUCCAACGGGUUUCGCCUUUUGCCCUCUUUCACGUCAUGCACAGCACUCCCAGCUCAGUUCCACUGACAUGUAUUACUGAGCGCCUGUUAGAUGGAAGGCCGGGUGCCAGGAGUGAGAUUUCAUCUCUUGUGGCAUUCUGGAAUUUCUGGGAAUGAAAGGCAUGAGAAAGAGGAGUAGUGGCUCCCAUGUUCUGCUUGCUGUCACCAUGUAAGGACUUGAAUUUUUCCAAGAGCUCUGGUCUCAAAGCCUGGUCCCCUCCUGAUUAUCUCUGAACCCUGAGCUUUAGGGACAUGUGCCUCCCAGGUGACUUAGCUCAAUGGCAAGCAGACAGACCGAACUAUUUUCUAGCAAUUGUGGGGUGCUUUACACAAGCCAUCUCCCCAGAUUCUCACAACAGAUCUUUGGGGGGUGUUGCCAUUUUCAUCUCUAAGAAGAUCAGAAGGAUAUUCAAGUCUCAUAGGUAGUGGGUGUCUGAGUGUCAGGCACAGAUCUACCUGCUUCGGAAGUCCAUACUCUCCCACAUGUCCAGCUGAUCAAUGAUGAAUCUCUGGCUUGGUAUUUGUGAGAGAUACAUGAAUUGUUAUUCGAGAGCCUGCCUUGUUCUCAUAUCCCAUUUCCAUUCAGCAUCACGUGGAGUCUACACAGCUCUUCUCUCUACAUGUAGCCUCCUUUUAAAUUUUUAUUGGAGUUCCAUCUUUCACUUGAUGAGAAUUUUUUGCCCUAACCGAAGCAAUCAUGGAAUCCAUUUGACAAAUUGCUUUUUCUUAUUUCCACACAGAUUGUAAGGUGAAUGUGUCUGCAUUGUGGGUAUGGGCCUGCACAGAAUUGGGCACUUCUCUCACCAAUUUGUCUCAAUUGACUAGUUUUCAGCCAAGAAUCUUCACUUUGGUGGCCCUCUUCAAUUUUUUGUCAGCACUGGCAGGCUUUAUUCCCCACCCCCCACUCUGGGCUGUUUGCCAUAAAGAAACAAAGGUUUGAUCAUUCAUGGGACAUUCUCUUUGGGUAAGAUUAUAGCAGGAAGGGCUAGAGGUGAGGUGCUGAGGGGGAAGUGGGUGGUGAAUCAACCUCAGGUACCUGAUACCUGAUUUUGUUCUGACAUAGACACCACAGAAGGCUGGAUUCCAAUUCAGAUCGUCACAUACUGACACAUGAAUACUGGCCAUGGACUUCAAGGUCCCUUAGGAAUCUUGGGGACCACUCUGGUCACACUCACAAAUGCCUAGUGUCUUCACUCAGGCUACUGUAACGAGAUACCAUAGACUGGAUGGCUUGAACAACAGACAUUUAUUUCUCACCAUUCUAGAAGCUGGGAGGUACUGACAUAGGGAUCUGGCAAGAAGCCUCUUUCUGGCUUGUAGAUGGUUCCUUUCUUCCUGUGUCCUCACAUGGUAGAGAGAGAGCUGUAACCUUUUUCUCUUCUUAUAAAGUCACUGAUUGUAUCAUGAAGGCUCGAUCCUCAUGACCUCAUUUAAACCUAAUUACCUCCCUAAUUACCACUUCCAAAUACCAUCAGAUUUAGAAUUAGGGUAUCAACAUAUGAAUUUUGGGGAAACACAAGACAUUCAGUCCAUAGCACCUAAUUCUGCCAAACAAUCACAUGUUCACCAAAUCACUGGGUUUGAAUUUAGAUCUUCCAGCUACUAACUAUGUGACCAGGGACAAAUAAUUAAACUUAUGGAGUCAGUUUCCUCAUCUGUAAAAUGGGGAUAACAUUUUGGUACCCAUAUCCUAGGAUUGUUGCAAUGAUGAAAUGAGCUAACACUAUAACCUCUUAGCAUGGUCUCUGACACCCAGUGAAUGGGGCUGCAACACAGAGGUUCAGAGCACAGCCUCCAAGACCAGACUGCCUGCACGGACUCUUAACUCUACUUCUUACUUAGCUCUGUGACUACUGGUGAGUUACUUAACUUCUCUGUGCCCAAGUUUUCUCGUCUGUAAAACAGAGAUAAUCAUAGUACCUACUUAAGGGUUGUUGUAAAGAUUGAAAUGAAUUAGUAAUUAAGCAUAGAAAGAACCAUAUUAGUACCAUUAUCAUUAUUGCUCAAGGGGAUAAUAUAUUAGCUGGGGCUGAUGGAGAAGUUAUAGAUUAAGUUGUUAUGUUCUGGAGGUUUGGGUCUGGGGAGAGGAAGGAAUACUGUUUCAGGUAGGGGAAUCAGACCUACUCCGGAGAUUUCUGGGUGUUAUGAACUUCAGUUCUCCAGCCACAAAUCUUCCUUCCAGACAAAUGGUUUCAGGCAAGUAUUUGUUGCUGCUUAAAUUUCACUUGCGUGUGGGCCCCUAGCAGUCAGCAAAUAAAACUCUCUUUUAGCUAGCUACUUCUGCUGCUCUCAGCUUGCUCACUGAUGUGUAACCUGAAAUAAACAGAGGUGUCCUGUGGUGUAGCCUCCCACAAGAUUGGAGCAGUUGGCUUAGCUAACCAAAACCACAUGUGCAAAGCCACGUCCACAUUCAUUGGACUCAGUAGGGCUUGCUGGUAGUAUGUGGGUUUCUGAGUGGUCUCCUGGUAAGGUACUGUCUAAAUCUCAUUUGGACAAACUAAUUGGGUAGGAGCCUCAUCUUCCGGAAUGUUCUGCUGCAGUUGGCAUAAAAAUAAUGCCAAUAAUUGCAUUUGGAGUUUUCUUUUCUUUAAAAGGUGUAAAGAAAUGAAAGAAUUCCUCAGAGCACCAUCUUUGAGCUCUUGAUUCUACCAGGAAGCAAAUUAUUUAACUGCAAGAUGGUUAUGGUUCAGAGAGAAAAUCAUUACUAUUCCCAUCACUGGUCAAAAUGGGAAAAUUAUUUCUGUGUUCUUUUCCUAGCCCUUAUCUUGCAGCCCUUUUGGGGGCACUGGCUGGGUUUGUUUAAAUUAGUUUUAUAGGGGUGCCUGGCUGGCUCAGUCAGAAGAGCGUGCAAUUCUUGAUCUUGGGGUCAUGAGUUUGAGCCCCACGUCGAAGGUAAAGAUUACUAAAAAAUAAAUAAAUAAAUAAAACUUAAAAAAUAAAUUAGUUUUAUAAUGAUGAUGAUAACUGUACAAUAGGAAAGUAAUGACAUCUUCCUUUUUUCUUUCCUUCUUCCCUUUCCUCUCUUCUUCUCUUUCUCUGUUACCACGCUUGUGCGAACACAAAAAUAAAGGCCUUACCCAUCAGGAAGUUCACAAUAUCUAAAAAGUCCUUUAGGAUUUUUCCUUUGCAAGUUCUGUUUCACCUUUUCAAUCAUUUUGCGUUAUUGUAGUUUCUCAACAGAUAUUUGGUGAAAAAAUACUAUGCCCUAACUUUAAGUUAGGGUGCAGAAUUAUUUCCAUUUUGCAGAUAAGAAAACAGGAGCAAAGAGACAGAAAUAAAUACUAUUAACAUUUUCCUUGGAUCAGGCAUUGUGCUGGACUUUCACACGGGUCUUCUCCUUUAUCUUAAUUGUCAUAACAACCAAUUAGAUGCUCACUGGUGGCCAGCUUCCAGAAGAAGCUCAGAAAGGGUGAAGUGUCUGGUUGGUGGCAGAGGCCAGACUGAGUUCAGAUCUCUGUAUCCUUUUAUUCAGGAUUUCUCUGGUUACCCUGGUCAGGAGUGGUGGGUGGUUAGGGAUGGGGUUUGGAGUUGGUCCUGAUCCCCAACUUUCCUGUUUCUGCUCAGUUCUUUCCCUUGGGCCCUUUGCUUCUCUCUCUAGGAACAACUAUGGUACCAAUAGCCACCCCCACCCCACUGGGUUAGAUAUUCUACACAUUUUAUCUCAUUUGGUCCCAGCAAUGAUUUGACUUCUUUUCUAGUCGUUAAUGCCCCUGAUGGGAUAUUUAUGGAUUUAUGGGAUGGGGCAGAUGCCGAAAUGUAAAAAACAAACAAACAAAAAAACAACAACAAAAAAACCUCAAUGCAUCUAGCUGGAAACCUAUCUCUCAUAUGCACAUUGGGAAGAGGUGUCCAGCUCCAAGCAGCUUCCUGCAGAAUCCAACUGGGCUGGUUCUCUAUCCCAGGCUUCAGCACCUGAGUAGUCAAUUCUCAAAGCCACAUCUGUUUGUUUGAUUUUGAUUUAUCACCACCCCAUGGAGCUUGGGGGCAAGGAAGACUAUGGUAGGAUUGCUUUCUGGUUUUCCCUCUGCGAUUUUAGAAAACCCUUAGGAAGGACCAUUCCAAAUACCUUAGGAGAUCAAUUUGGGGAGGAUCCUGAGCUCUGCUGCAACAAUUCCAUAUCCGCUAGGAUGAACUUCAGGACCCCCUCUCUCCGCACCACCCCAAACGUUCAGCCUGCAGACUCCUUCAACAUUCUGCCCUUCCCUACCAGGGUCCUAGGCUGAGGAAGGAGAGAUGUAGGUCUCUUUGCUUAAAGCAGGCCAGAACACAGGAGUUCACAUUGCCCAGCAGGGAAGAGUAAUGAGCACAUUUAUUAAUGAGGCACAAUGUUUGUGUCAAUUGUCAGCGCGAAUCAUUUGUUGGCUAGAGCAAAACCUAACUGCCAUUGGUGGAAAUUCAUUUGCAAAUGAAGUCAGUGAGAUAUGGCAUUUAGAUAUCCACUGACACGUUUCCAUGUUUAACUCCUUUGCUUUCUCAGGAAGGAUCCAGGCCCUGCUAGAAUUUCAACAGAAAUUCCCAUUCCAUACACACACUGUUUCCAUCCUUUCUAUCCUUGCCUCCUCUCUUCACUGCUUUCUUCCUUCCUGCCAUCCUACCUUCCCCUCUCGUCCCUCCAAUAUCAUAUUUCCUGUGUACUAUGCCCCAGGCACUGGGGAUACACCACUGACUAAGAUCUAUCUCAGCCACCAAGGAGACUCCAGUCCAGUGACUGUCCUUACAAACAGAACCACAGAUGGGGCACCAGUCCUAACCAGCUAUGUUCCCAACAGAAUGCAUUUGACAUUGCCUUCCUGACCUGCAGAACUUGAGUUGCACUGCCCAUUCUCUUGUCUAUUUCCCCAUAUGGAAUGCUUGCUCUUCUUUUCUAUGCCAAAUAAAGCCAAUUCAGCCAUCUGCUCUCUUUUCUCUGAAUGCAGAACAUGUAUUUGUCAGUCAUGUGUUUUUUGGGAGAAAUCUCUUGCUUUAGUUUCUUGCAUUACUAAUUAACUCUCAAUUACAAUGGUAAGAGUUAUUACUGCUGUAGGAAGGCAGCAUGACAGGGACAUGAGAUCUGAAGGCAGAUUUGGGUCUAUUCAUGUCUCUGACAUUUGCUAGCUGGAUGACUUUCAAAUAACUUGACUUUGCUGAGUCUUCAUUUUCUCACCUGUCAAAUGAAGACAGGUGGUACUUCCUGGGUCUCAGGACACCUCUGUUGGCCAUGAAUACAAGGAUGGUUUCAAACGCUCUGGCAGAAGCAUCCACUUUCCUUCAAGGAAGGUGUUUUCCUCCUACCCCCAAGGGAUCUGUCUUCAAGGUCCUGUCCAGGGCCCAACGUGAACAGUCCAUGGGCUGAGCUUUGAAAACUGGAAGGAGGUAUGUUUGCUUAUAUAUAUGUUUAUCCACACAUAUAAGAUGUCCCAACCCAUUUAUUUUAUGGGAUCAUAGAAUAUUACAGGGGCAGAGUAAGUCUGAGGACAUACCCUCAAGAAUUCUCCAAGUGACCACUGAUUCUCAACCCUAUAACACCUGAGGGGAAGACACACUUUAUUGGGAACACUGGCCAAAGCAUUGACUCUUGUUUGAUGAUAUGGGGAGUGAACUGGAUAGAAGAUUUCAGAAUCUCUAAGAGGCAGAUGUGUGUAAUCAAGGACAGUUCCCUAAAUGAUUCUUCUAUGUGCCCUUCCCCCAUUAGAACCACUCAGACUCCUUUAAAAAUAUUAUGAAAUAUUUCAGACAUAGGAAGAGGCAGGAAAAUAAUAUGAUGAUACUCAUAUGCCUAUUUUAGGAGACAGCUAUCCCUAUCUAUCUAUCAAUCAGUAGAACUGAAGCCCAUAUACCCUGCUCAGAUUGUACUCAUGUCCCCCCCGCCCCAGGAACCAUAUACUGAAUUUGGUUAUUUUUACUUCCAUACAUUUCUUUUUAGUUUUACUACACACACACACAUAUGUGUAUAUUCCUUAAAUAGUAUACAGCAUCAUUUUAUAUGUCAUUACAUUUUAUAUAGGUAGAAUCAUACCACACGGAAACUUCUGCAACUUGCUUUUUAUUGGUUUGCUCAAUCAAGCCUGUGUUUAUGAAAUUCACCCACGUUGACACGGGCAGCUGUGGUUAACUUUCAUGUUGUAUUAUAUUCCAUUUGGUGACUAUGCUGUGCUAAAUACACUAUUCAACUGUUGGUAGAUAGUUAGGCUAUCACUUUUAGGCUAUUGCAAACGAGGUGGCUCUGCUCAUUAUUGAACAUGCUCCUAUAGCCCAUUUGCAAGAGUUCCUUUAAGGCAGUGGUUUCAGUGGGGAUUUUGCCCCCCAGGAGGCACUUGGCAACAAUACCUGGAGACCUUUUUGGUUGUCAGAACUGGGGGAUGCUAGUGGCAUCUGGUGGAUAGAGGCCAGGCAUGCUGCUAAAUAUCCUACAAUGCACAGAAUAUCACAACAAAGAAAUCCCUGUCCCCAGUGUCAACAGUGCAGAGGUGGAGAAACCCUGCUUUAGGGUGACGGUAGCAUUGCUGCAUCACAGACUCUUUACUAAGCAUCGUCACGCUGUUUUGCAAAAUGGUUGUAGUAAACUUACACCCAAACCAGUGGCCUGUGUAAGGACUCCCACACACCUCCAUUUUAUAGAUUGGAAACCUGAGGUGCUGAGUGACAGGGACAAGGGUAUGGAAUGACAUUCAAAAAACUUUGACAAAGACACAGAUGUUGUUGUAUUUUUCCAGAGAGGACACAUCAAAGGAAGAUAAAUCUAGUCCUUCAAUGCAAGAGACAUUUACACAGUGUCUACUAUGUUCCAGGAGCCAUACUUUACACACAUUGUCUCUCGUCUUCUUCAACUGCAGAGCUUGGUACAUGAGGAUCACACAGCACACGUCAUGGCAUGGACUUUGAGGUCAGAGGACCUGGUGUUGGGUUCCUGAGCAGUUAUUUGCCAGCCCUGUGCCUCGUGAAAGUUACUCGACUGCUCUAAACUUCAGUUUCCUCACCUGUAAGACAGGGCUCAUACCCAGUACCUACAUCACAGUGGUGUUGUGCCGGAGGAAAUGCAGUGGUGGCCCAUGAAUAUUAGCGGUCAUCAACAUCGUCAUCACUCAUUUAUAGAUAAGGAAUGGAGCCUCAGAGUUUGAAUAUGUUGCAAAAGUGAUAAGUUGUAAGUGGUAGAAAUAGAAUUUGAACUCAGGUCUGUCUGACUCCAAAGUCCAUCUCAUUUCAAUUGUGUCAUGUUGCUCCCCAAGAGGGGAGCACUCCUGGUCCCAUCCCACCCCUGGACUUUGGGGCAGAGGGUGUAGCCCAUAUGAAUUACUAAAAGUCAGCCUUCAUCAAAUACUUUUAAAUAACACAUUUUAAUAGUUUCAUGAAUAUUUAGUAACUCAACUAAGUAAAACAAAUGCUGCCAAGGCUUAAGUGCCCUGGGGACCUGCUGGAGUAGAUCGACAAGGAUGAUCCGUGAUUAUAAUACAGAUUUGCGUGCAAACGGUGAUGCUGCAGAGUAUGAAAACACCUCACUCUCUUACAAAUUAUGACUCUCUCCUUUACUAUGUUACUGCUGUUAACCUGCUCCAUCUUUGAAGACAAACCAACUGAAACCUAUCGCAUCUGCAAAGGAUCACAAAUUUAGUAUUAGUGGUGUCAGAAUGAACGAUGCUUGCCUUCCUACACCCUAUUUGCAAUCAUGUCCUCCAAUUUCUCCUCCACUCCCCACCCCACCCCCUUUCCUCCUGGGAAGACAUUUGUCUUUAGAGACUGGCAAUGAGGCAUUUGCCAUUGUACACAUUAUGACAUAUUUUACAUAUGCUCCAAGAAGCUGGGGCUAAAUUACACUGGUGAGUUAUUAAAAACAGCUCUCAAUGCUAUUAUUAUUUAUUGCAUUUCCAACUCUCUGCAGCAGCUGAUUACACUGCUUAAUCUUGUAUUUUUUUUAAUUCCCCCUUCCCUGAAAUUAAUUCUCCCUGCAAUGAAUAAGCAGGGUCAGCUGCACUGAGUGCCCAUUGGGAAAGAAAGUUUGGAUUCUAGAGAAGAGUUUGAUUGACAGCUCUGGGACCAAGCCUCUCUUUCUUCAGGGGAGGAAGUCUCUCACUUGAAAUAUGAGCACCUUUUCUCCAAAGUACUUCCAGAGUUUUCCAGAUCACAGGUCUCUCCAUGCUGGUCCCCUCCAUACAGUGUCUGUUGCCAUCUCUGACUGUCAUCAAAGGUCUUCAGUGCCAUGGCCGCUGCUCACCUCCCAGCCUCACCUCCCACAGCCCUGCCUCUCCACCCAGGAUGCAGUCAUCCGCAGGACUUACAGUUCCUCCAGGGCCAGGCUUUGACUUGUGAGCCUUCCUACCUAAGGGCUAUUUCACUUGAAAUCCUACCUCCACCCUUAUUUCCUUGGCCAACACCUUUUCCUUUCAGGCUCAGCUUAGGAAAUAACUCAUUUGGAAAGCCUCCCCAGUGCUGAACCUGAGUGUUUCUCCCCUGCUUCCAUGAAACCUUGCACUUAAUGUGGAUUGUAGCUCUUGACACACUCUAUUGUCAUUGUGUGUUUACGUAUCUGUUUCUUGACACACUGAACUACAUGAGAGCAAGUUGUUCAAGUUCCCAGUAUGAGGCCUACUACAAGUUAGUGCUUUAGAAACUAAGAAAUCCCAAACUCAGAAGUAGUUAGUGGAGUAGAAAGAGCCAAAGCUCUUGAAUUAGGCAUUUAUUCUUUCAUUCAUUCAUUCGUUCAUUCACUCAACAAAUAUUUAUUGAGCAUCUGUUAUGAACCAGGAACUAUACUAAGCCCUAGAGAUACAAUGAUUAGAAAUCAAUGGUUAUAGUGUUAAUGGCCUAAUAAGGGAGAGGUAUAAAACUCAAAUAGCAGCAUAAGCAUAUAAUUCUAAACUGUGAUAAGUGCUAUAAGAGAAAAAUACUCAGUUAUGACAACAUAAACACAGAGCCCAACCCACACCAAAAUUGGUGUAGGGAGUAUCAUCAGUGAUGCCUUUCUUGAGGAAGUAAUGCUUGACCUAAGAGCUGCAGGAUGAAUAGGUGUUAACAUGGGUAAGAGCACUUAAGGAAUAAGUGAAAGCAUGUGCAAAGGUCCUGAGGUGAGUGGCAGCCUGAGUGCUCAAGGGGUGCCUGGGAACUGACUGAAGGCCAGUGUAGAGGCCCAGGGAAUGGGCAUGGAUGGAGGGGAUAUGAUGGAAGAUAAGACUGGGAGGCACUCAGGGGGUAGGCCACGCAGAGUCUUGUAGACCAUGUUAUGGAUUUGUCUAGCCUGGGCACAAUGUGUUUUAAACAAAGGAAUAACAUCAUGAGUGAGAGAGAAAGAGAGAGAGCAAGCAUGUGUGUGUGUGUUGUAUGUUUUAAAAUGCCUGUGAUGGAGAGAACAGAAUGGAAGGUGACAAAGUACACAGAUAUUGUGGGGUAUACACCUGUAAACUGCCUCAGAUGACACGAUGGCAAGAUGGACUUAAUGACUGAAGCACCACUUGGAGGUGGGAAGUCUUCCAGAAGUCCUCAUAGAGACACCUGGAUCAUAUGUCACAGACCUGCUCCAGGAUGUGCCUCUUCCAAUGCAGAAACUCAUACUGGGGUUAGCUGGUUUGGGGGCCUCUGCUUUAGAGUUAACCUCCCAGGGCCUGUCCUACCUGAACUGAGGAUCAUUUAUAGUUUAUGCAUCUAAGGUAAAGAGGUCAGAGAGCUGAACUUCACCUCUAAAUUCUGCCUUUGACUUCUAAGUCUUGACAAUAUUAAUUCAACUCCAGACUGGACUUAAUUUUCUACCUUGGGAAGAAUGGGACCUGGGAUGUCAUAUGAUUCAUCUUUCCAUUCUAUCCAUCCAUCAAUUUCUAUCUCCCAUUCAUCUAUCCAUCCAUUUAUCCAUCCAUCCACCCAUUCAACAAAUAUUCACUGGAACAACACUGGAGAAGUGUCUAGAACCUGGCCUCUUGAUCCCUAAUACAAGAGCAAGAUCCCUUGCUCUUCCCUGGUCCACAUCUGUCAUUAUGAGUUAGCGUCUCUCAGCUAUAGCCACGGGGAUGGAGUCUGACCCAGACACUUCACAGAAUUUUGUUCUUUCAGUUCUUUGGUUGCUGAAUUGGAGCCACAGGCAAACCCUGCAUUCUUUUCUCCUGAUUUAAUUGGCCUAUUAUUUUAAACUUUUGUAGAUAAGGGAAUAAAAAAGUCAGUGGAAUAUUGUAUUCAUCACAUUCAAAUUAAUAUGCUUCAUUACCAUAAGACAAGAAGUGUAGUUGCAAUAUUUUCUCAAAACUUUUAAUUGAACAGAGCAUGGGAGGGAGUAAAGCAAAAAUGGAAACCACCAAGCUCAGAUGUUGUUUUUCACUUUCUCAGAAUGUGUGCUGUUUGUGAUACACUCAUCUCAUUAGUGUUAAUUAUGAACAAAAAUAAAAUGGCAUUUAACACUGUGCUGAGACUUUAAUUAAAGACAAACCUUCAUACCCAGGAACUCUCUGAAGUCCAAGGUAGUUAUUCUAAAAUGGUAUAAACAUCUGCUGAGCCAGUGGUACCCCUAUACCCACUCCAUCCCCUACUGUUGGAAGGCCACUUCUAGAUGGAAGCCAUCCAUCCAUCCAUCCACCCAUCCCUUCAACAGAUAAGCUUUAACUUGCUCAUUUAAACUCUAAAGUAGUUCUGGGGCAAGAAAACAAAUAUUUGUUAAGUACCACUGUAUCAUUUUAAAUACAUUAUCUGAAGGCUGAUAGAGCAGAAGGAAUACAGGGAACAUUCAAGUAAGGGUAGUUAGUAGUACUAUUCACAUUAUCCCAUUUAAUCAUCAAAUGGUUCCACGAGGUGGGGGCAAAUUAUUAUUGCAUGUAAUUUAUAGGAACUAAAACCAAAGUCCAU